UGGGGAAUAUUGGACAAUGGGGGGAACCCUGAUCCAGCCAUGCCGCGUGUGUGAAGAAGGCCUUAUGGUUGUAAAGCACUUUAAGCGAGGAGGAGGCUACUGAGACUAAUACUCUUGGAUAGUGGACGUUACUCGCAGAAUAAGCACCGGCUAACUCUGUGCCAGCAGCCGCGGUAAUACAGAGGGUGCGAGCGUUAAUCGGAUUUACUGGGCGUAAAGCGUGCGUAGGCGGCUUUUUAAGUCGGANGUGAAAUCCCCGAGNUUAACUUGGGAAUUGCAUUCGAUACUGGGAAGCUAGAGUAUGGGAGAGGAUGGUAGAAUUCCGGGUGUAGCGGUGAAAUGCGUAGAGAUCUGGAGGAAUACCGAUGGCGAAGGCAGCCAUCUGGCCUAAUACUGACGCUGAGGUACGAAAGCAUGGGGAGCAAACAGGAUUAGAUACCCUGGUAGUCCAUGCCGUAAACGAUGUCUACUAGCCGUUGGGGCCUUUGAGGCUUUAGUGGCGCAGCUAACGCGAUAAGUAGACCGCCUGGGGAGUAC
rnacentral:rRNA from 1 species